UUAAGUUCAGCGGGUAUUCCUACCUGAUCUGAGGUCAACCUUAAAAGAGUUGGGGGUUUAACGGCAGGCCGCACCGCUCUCCGCCUGCGAGGUUUUAACUACUACGCAGAGGAGGCUACGGCGUGGUCGCCACUCUAUUUCGGGGCGGCCGCCCGUAACCGGGAGGCCGAUCCCCAACACCACCCCCGACACGAAGCCGG
rnacentral:misc_RNA from 1 species